AAUCUCGUGGUGAAGUUCAUGUCAAAUUGCAAAUUUGAAGAUAUA
rnacentral:tRNA from 1 species